rnacentral:lncRNA from 1 species
AUGAAGGUGAAGGUGGGUCCCAGCUCCCCAGCCUCCUUGCCUUCGGCCGCGACACGGUCCGCCUCCUGUCCGUCUCACCGGCCUCCCGCCCGCCUGUCCGCCGCGCGCGCCGCUUUCCGGCCUCCCUACGGUCAGUCUUGCAGAAGGCCGACGGGAGCCGCUGCCGCCGCCUCCCGCUCGCUCCUCGGCUUCCUCCCGGGUUCCUCCGGCCUCCCUACGGUCAGUCUUGCAGAAGGCCGACGGGAGCCGCUGCCGCCGCCUCCCGCUCGCUCCUCGGCUUCCUCCCGGGUUCCUCCGGCUUCCCCUCACCCCUGCGAGUGGCCAGGAGGAAGCCAGCUCGCCGCUGGGCCGCCUCCCCCACUUCCCCGGCGCAACCAAUGGGCCCCCGCCGCUGGCAAGCCGCGCCCGCCCCCUGGCGGUGGAGGACUGAGCUGGCGCCGUGCAGGCCUGAGGAAGGGCCUGAGAGCAAAGGGAGGGGUUCUGCGGCCCCGCCCCCUGUCCGCGCCGGGCUGUCUGGACCUGCCACGUGGGAGCGAAGGGGGCGGCGGCAGUCUGCACUCCAGGACAGGGCAGAAGUGUCACGGCCUCUCCUCGCCCUCCCCCGUCCGCCACCCUCUGCCUUCAGUCACACUUCUAUAAUCCCCGCCUUAAAGGAAGAAAAUUUAAAAUAAUCAGUCCCAUUUUAGAGCUCCAUAUUCGAGAUGAUCAUUAUUUCCUCCUGACUCCUUCCAAACUAGUUCACCUAUGGCAAAGAUACUACCUGACUGAGCACUAGAACGCUGGUAACCUUAAAUGUUGGGCUCAAGGAGAAAGGCAAUUCUUGUAUUUUGCACCUCACUUUCGUUUAAUGUAUUUAGCAACAUAAAAGAAAUGUUUUUCUCCUGUACACACCUUUUCGCACGAUCAUGUGUUAACUGGGAGGUCAAACCAAAACCUGCAAACGCAAAAUUGUUUCAUAAUUCCUAUCCAUAUUCCAAAAUAAUAACUAUAACCCUUAUUAACAAUAUUAGGUAGAAUAUCAGGACAAUACAUGGUUGUAGAAAUUAAAUUGCAUUAAAGAAAUAAUAGAGUUUAAUCAUAGUAUUCUACCAAGUCUUAACAUACCUGGAAAAAUAGAAAAUACAGAACUUAAAUAAUAGCUAUGAAUUUGGAAGUUUGUGUUCCAUGAUAGGAUGAAGAGAGCCUUCUUUGCUUGCACCUUGCUGGGCCUUUGGGAAUGUGUUCUCAUUUAAUACUCACAACUCAGACUGAAGUUGAUAAUAGCUGUGUUUUGCUUUAACUGAUAAAAAAACCCAAGACUUCAAAGUUAAGUUUAAAUCACUUGUUUGAAAAUAUAAGGGAGUAAGUUGUGAAGUUGGAAUUCUAGCCUGGUCCAUCUAGCUUCAAACAAAUAAGGCACUUCAUUUCUUAUUAUACAAAAAUACAACAUGUACACACCUUCCCUUGACCCCUAGGUCCCACUGAGAGAAUUUCAGUUCAGUUCAGUCACUCAGUUGUGUCUGACUUAUUUGCAACCCCAUGAACCGCAGCAUGCCAGGCCUCCCUGUCCAUCACCAACUCCCGGGGUCCACGCAAACCCAUUUCUGUCGUGUCGGUGAUGCCAUCCAACCAUCUCAUCCUCUGUCAUCCCCUUCUCCUCCUGCCCUCAAUCUUUCCCAGCAUCAGGGUCUUUUCAAAUGAGUCAGCUCUCCACAUCAGGUGGCCAAAGAGAGAAUUUAGAAGCCUCUUGAUUAGAGAGGUCAGGCCAUAUUUGUGAAAAAAAAAAAAAAAACAACUUUUUGCUCCAUAAUCAAAUUGGCCUGUAUGGAAAGAACAUAUGGCAUAGUAUUAUAGCACUACACUUGAAACAAUUUCUGGGUUGAACAUGUGCUGAAUAACCAAUGACCAUAAUAUAUAGCUUCAAACCCUUCAAUAGGUAAUGAAAUUAAUAAUAGUGGGUCACAAUCGACAUUUUGUUAUUGAUUCACUGAAAUAGAAUAGAACCAAAAAAUCAGAGUUCCUAGCAUAACUUGAAAAUACAUACUGUUUCAUGAAAUAUUUGUACAAUAUUAAGUGUAGUUGAGUAGAUUACAGCAUCCUGGGCUACAGUGUAAAUUAUAUUUUUCAUACGGAUUGCAUUGUUUAAAAGUUGGUAAAUCAUUUCUUUAGCACAGCUGUUAAUCAACCAUUUUUUUCACCUGCUGUUUUACUUGGCAAGAGGCAGGAAAGCAGGAAAAACAGUCAGGAUUAACGAUAAAGUUAAUAAGACUACAAAAAACUGCAGCUCCGAGAGGCUUAAUCCAAACUAACGUUUCUGUGUUACAUUAUAAUAAUAUAUUACAUUUAAUAAUAGGUAAUGAUAAUUCAUGGGAGAAGGCAGUGGCACCCCACUCCAGUACUUUUGCCUGGAAAAUCCUGUGGAUGGAGGAGCCUGGUGGGCUGCAGUUCAUGGGGUCGCUAGAGUCGGACACGACUGAGCGACUUCACUUUCACUUUUCACUUUCAUGCAUUGGAGAAGGAAAUGGCAACCUACUCCAGUGUUCUUGCCUGGAGAGUCCCAGGGACGAGGAAGCCUGGUGGGCUGCCGUCUCUGGGGUCGCACAGAGUCGGACACGACUGAAGCAACUUAGCAGUAGCAUGAUGAUUUUUAUUUUUAAAGCCAAUGUUUAUUAUGUAUUUGCUGUGUUCCAGGCUCUUUCCUAAACUUCAUAUAUAUAUAUAUAUUUACUCAUUUAAUCCUCACAAUAAUCCUAUUAUACCUAAAUCCUAAAUACCAAGGAGAAAAGUGCAUAACAGGGCCAAGAUUCAAACCCCCAAUGCCCAAAAUUUCAAGCCUCAAAACUCACCCUUGUCUCAACUUGGAAAAGAAAAUUCAUUCCCUCUUCAGUGGCUUCAAGUUUUUACAUAAAACUGUAGCUUAUACUGUACAAUUUCCCACAUAAGAAUUACAUAAUAUUGCUACAGGUUAAGCUUGAUGCAAAGCCUCAGAAUAUUAAUUGGGCCCAUUCUCAAGCAGAACAUUUCAUUUGGCAUCAGUUAUCUGUAUAUGCGGGCCUUCGAGGUGGCUCAGUGGUAAACAUUCAGCCUGCCAAUGAAGGAAUUGCAGGUUCUAUCCCUGGAUCGGGAAGAUCCCUGGAGAAGGAAAUGGCAACCCACUCCUUUAUUCUUGCCUGGAAAAUCCCAUGGACAGAGGAGCCUGACGGGUUACAGUCCAUGGGGUCACAAAAGAGUCAGACACAAGUUAGUGAUUAAACAACAACAAUAAUCUGUAUAUGGAGUAGAGAUUGCCUGCAAAUACAGCAACCAAUGAUUCCUCCCAUUUCUGUAAAUUCCUGCCACAUUUACCACCAACAGGUAGAGUCUGUGUCCCUCCUCUGGAAACUGGGCUGUCCUGGGACUUGUUUUAACCCACUGAAUGCAGCUGAAGUGAUGCUGGAUAACUUCCGGGCCUUGAAGCUUCCAUUAUUUUUAGAAUCCCAUCACCACAUAAAGAAACUCAGAUCAGGCUACUGAAUGAGAAGAAACUCCAUGGAGAGAAAGAGAGGCCUGGUUAGGCCCAAACCGUCCAACCACUCAGCUGAGUCAGCAGAUGACUGAGGUCAUCUGCGUCGUCCAGCCUGAGUGGAGCUUCUCGCUGAGCACACCAAGAGUGACCCCAAACAACAACAUGUGGGAGCCACCCCAUCCAAACCAGCCAGCCCACAUAAUCUUGAGAAAUCACUGUUUGUUGCUGUUAUCAAUUGCUAAGUUCCGUGGUAGGGUUUUUUUUUUUUUUUAAUGUAGUAAUAGGUCACUGAAACAUGGAGGGAAAGGUUUGUAAAAAACAAACAAAAAAAAUUGAAAAUAAACACAUACAUAAAUACAAGCUGACUAGUCCUAGGAGUGGGAUUACAUUAAAAUAUUAGAGCAUGCUUAUAUUGGAUUGUCACCCCAAACUUGUAGAGGGAUAGCCAGAAACUCUACAAGGUUUUAAAGAAUAUCAUGGGUGGGGGAAAAACACAAAGGUAGAAUAAUAAAAACAAAAAAUAAUAAAAAGUGUCAAAUGCAAUACCUAUACACUGAGUUAAAUACCACACUCUGCUGCUGCUGCUAAGUCACUUCAGUCAUGUCUGACUCUGUGCGACCCAUAGACGGCAGCCCACUAGGCUCGCCGUCCCUGGGGUUCUCAGGCAAGAACACUAGAGUGGGUUGCCCUUUCCUUCUCCAAUGCAUGAAAGUGAAAAGUGAAAGUGAAGUAGCUCAGUUGUGUCCAAUCCUCAGCGACCCCAUGGACUGCAGCCUUCCAGGCUCCUCUGUUCAUGGGAUUUUCCAGGCAAGAGUAUUGGAGUGGGGUGCCAUUGCUUUCUCCGAAAUACCACACUCAGGUGUGGCUUAAAAAGUGUUGUUCAGAAUAGUCACAAAAAUGUGCAUUUAGAAGUCUCAAACUGAGCUUUCCUGGUGGCUCGGUGGUAAAGAAUCCGCCUGCCAAUGCAGGAGAAACAGGUCAAGGAGGCUCCCACAUGUCAGUUGUUGCUGUCGUUAGUCACAAACACACAUACUGAGCCCGUGCUCUAGAGACCGGAAACUGUGACUAUUGAGCCCACAUGUCGCAGCUACUGGAUCCUGAGUGCCCUAGAGCCCAUGCUCUGCAACAAGAGAAGCUAGCCGAGGAGAAGCCCACGCACGCAACUAAGAGCAGCCCCACUUGCUGCAACUGGAGAAAAGCCCACACAGCAAUGGAAACCCAGAACAGCCAUACAGAAAUAUAUAACUAAAAACAGAGAAGAGACCCAAACCUCUCAAACUUCCUCCAGCCUACAGGUAAAAGCCACAAGAUACGAGUGUUAC